AUGAACGCUGGCGGCGUGCCUAAUACAUGCAAGUCGAGCGAACAGACGAGGAGCUUGCUCCUCUGACGUUAGCGGCGGACGGGUGAGUAACACGUGGAUAACCUACCUAUAAGACUGGGAUAACUUCGGGAAACCGGAGCUAAUACCGGAUAAUAUAUUGAACCGCAUGGUUCAAUAGUGAAAGACGGUUUUGCUGUCACUUAUAGAUGGAUCCGCGCCGCAUUAGCUAGUUGGUAAGGUAACGGCUUACCAAGGCAACGAUGCGUAGCCGACCUGAGAGGGUGAUCGGCCACACUGGAACUGAGACACGGUCCAGACUCCUACGGGAGACAGCAGUAGGGAAUCUUCCGCAAUGGGCGAAAGCUUGACGGAGCAACGCCGCGUGAGUGAUGAAGGUCUUCGGAUCGUAAAACUCUGUUAUUAGGGAAGAACAAAUGUGUAAGUAACUAUGCACGUCUUGACGGUACCUAAUCAGAAAGCCACGGCUAACUACGUG
rnacentral:rRNA from 1 species